rnacentral:tRNA from 1 species
AAGAGGAUGAAGAUAAUCCUAAAGAAGCUGCUAACUAUCUUUAGAAGCGGUUAAAGUCCGUUUACCUCUUA